CCCGAACGGUGGAUCACUCGGCUCGCGGGUCGAUGAAGACCGCAGCGAACUGCGAGUCACAGUGUUAAAUGAUAUUUAUUGAACAGAUCAUCGACCGCCCCGCGCUUCCCCGAGGCCCCCGCGCCUUCACACUUCCGACCUCGGAUCAGGCGAGACU
rnacentral:rRNA from 1 species